AUGAGGACCUUUUGUUGGAACUAUCGCGGGAUUGGCGACCCCGCGACGGUUCGUGAGCUACGCGAUCUAGUGGAGGCUUGUGCGCCGGAUGUGCUUUGGAUAGUUGAAACUCAGCUUGCGAAGUAUAUGGUGGAAGGUUUGGCGGGUAGUUUAGGUUUUAGUGGUAGGUUUGGAGUAGCUAGCAGUGGUCGUAGUGGAUGUUUGUGCUUGUACUGGAAGAAUAAUGUUGCCCUUGAAAUAAAAAAUUCUCAGUAUCACAUUGACUCGGUAAUUAAAGAACCGGGCAAAGAACCAUGGUGCUUGUCUUGCUUCUAUGGAGUUGCUAACAGGAGUCUUAAAUACAAAACUUGGGACACUAUGAAGUUUUUGCGAGGAGAAAAUACACUGCCGUGGGUCUGCAUGGGUGACUUUAAUGAAAAUCUCCGUCCAGAGGAGCAGAUGGGACCGAAUGAGAGCGAUAGCGCAGAUAUAGCAGGUUUCAGAGAGGCUGUAGAUGUGUGCGACCUUGCAGAUCUUGGAUAA
rnacentral:rRNA from 1 species